AAGACUAUACUUUCAGGGAUCAUUUCUAUAGUUCUUGACUUGAGAAAUGUGUUUCUAAAGUGUCUGGUCUCGCUACUCCCGAUGAUGAGAUGUAAUAUUCCCUCUGAGCAUAUGAAGACGGCAGAGAGUAUGGCUCAGUUCAUAUGCUCUCUGCUACUGAUGAUUGUUCUUUGCCUCCAAGUGGAGCAUUGAGGAGGGAGUAUGUUCCGAGUGGU
rnacentral:snoRNA from 1 species